GCAAACUUGGUCAUUUAGAGGAAGUAAAAGUCGUAACAAGGUCUCCGUUGGUGAACCAGCGGAGGGAUCAUUACUGAGUUACUAAACUCCCAAACCCUAUGUGAACAUACCUAUUGUUGCUUCGGCGGAACGCCCCGGCGCCCCACGGGGCCCGGACCUAGGCGCCCGCCGGAGGCCCCAAACUCUUGUUUAAACCGUACUUCUCCUCUGAGUGGAUUUACAAAAUAAAUCAAAACUUUCAACAACGGAUCUCUUGGCUCUGGCAUCGAUGAAGAACGCAGC
rnacentral:misc_RNA from 1 species